AAGUCGUAACAAGGUUUCCGUAGGUGAACCUGCGGAAGGAUCAUUAUUGAAUAAACUUGCACAGGCUGUUGCUGGCCCUCUCUGGAGGGUAUGUGCACGCUUGUCAUCUUUAUCUCUCCAACUGUGCACAUAUUGUAGACCUGGAGCUUUUGUUGAUUCAUUUCGAGUUGGGACUGCUGUGCUUUGUAAAUCAUGGUCGGCUUUCCCUUUUCAUUUUUCAGGUCUAUGUCAUUUUCACAACCUCUUGAAUGUGUUAGAAUGUCGAACCAGGUGCUUUUGUACCUAUAAAGUUAAAUAUACAACUUUCAGCAACGGAUCUCUUGGCUCUCGCAUCGAUGAAGAACGCAGCGAAAUGCGAUAAGUAAUGUGAAUUGCAGAAUUCAGUGAAUCAUCGAAUCUUUGAACGCAUCUUGCGCUCCUUGGUAUUCCGAGGAGCAUGCCUGUUUGAGUGUCAUUUAAGUUCUCAACCACAUCAAUUCUUUGGUGAGGCUUGGACGUGGGGGGUAUUUUUGCGGGCUUCUGAAAAUUUGAAGUCGGCUCCCCUGAAAUGCAUUAGUGGUAUCUGAGCAGAAGAAACUACUACAGGUGUGAUAAUUAUCUAUGCCUCAGUAUGCUGCAUAAUCAGAUUGCACUGCUUCUAACGAGUGGAGAUCCCUUUUGGGGGGACCACAUU
rnacentral:rRNA from 1 species